rnacentral:rRNA from 1 species
AAAUCCCGAAUUGGAAAGAGCUAGGUCAUUAUAUAAGUUAAAGUGGUAGAUUUAUUUAACAUAGUGCCCUAGUGGUGAAAGAUUAAUCGGUUUCCAAGAUAUCUGGUUUCUUAAGAAAUGAAUUUAAUUCAAAUAUAAUUGUAAAUUAACUUAUAAUAAUUUAAUUUUUCUUUUAUAUAAAAUGUUUAGGGGAUAAGCUCUAGAUAAUUUUAAACUAGUUUUAGAUUUAAGUUUUGUAGGCUUGAAAUUAGCCAUCGAAUUAAGAAUGUAAUAAUCUAAGUUGGGUAAUAAAAAUUUAGAUAAGGUUAAAUAAAUAUUAAGAAUUCUUUUAGAAUUUAAGGGAAGAAUCAUAAUGAUAGAAUAAAUAUAUUAUUUAGAAAGUAAAUAAAAUCUUUAUAAGGAACUCGGCAAAUUUACACUCGCCUGUUUAUCAAAAACAUCGCCUUUUGAAUUAAUAGAAGGUCUAGCCUGCCCACUGAGAAUUGAAGGGCCGCGGUAUUUUGACCGUGCAAAGGUAGCAUAAUCAUUAGUCUUCUAAUUAAAGGCUGGAAUGAAUGGCUGAACGAGGUGUAAGCUGUCUCAUAAAGAUAAUUAAAAUUUGACUUCCUAGUGAAAAGGCUGGGAUAGGAUUGGAGGACGAGAAGACCCUAUAGAGCUUGAUAAUUAAUUUUAAUAAAAAUAUAGGAGAAGUUGGGUUAUUAAAAUAGGUUAUUUUGUUGGGGUGACAGGGAAAUAAAAUAACUUUUCUUUUAUAGAAUCACAAAUUUGUGUGUAUUUGAUCCGUAAAUAACGAUUAUAAGACUAAGUUACCUUAGGGAUAACAGCGUAAUCUUUUUCGAGAGUUCUAAUCGACAAAAAGGUUUGCGACCUCGAUGUUGGACUAAGGGUAAUUUCGGGUGCAGAUGUUCGAAGUUUAGGUCUGUUCGACCUUUAAAACCUUACAUGAUCUGAGUUCAGACCGGCGUGAGCCAGGUUGGUUUCUAUCCUCAAUGUAUAAGAAUAUUUUAGUACGAAAGGACCAAAUAUU